GACGAACGCUGGCGGCGUGCUUAACACAUGCAAGUCGAACGGAAAGGCCCUGCUUUUGUGUGGUGCUCGCGUGGCGCACGGGUGUGUAACCUGUGAGUAACCUUCCCUUUAGUUUGGGAUAACUUCAGGAAACUGGUGCUACUACCUGAUAGGUGCUCCUGCUGCAUGGUGGGGGUUGGAAAGUUUCGGCGGAUGGGGAUGGACUCGCGGCUUAUCAGCUUGUUGGUGGGGUAGUGGCUUACCAAGGCUUUGACGGGUAGCCGGCCUGAGAGGGUGAACGGCGACAUGGGGACUGAGAGACGGCGCAGACUCCUACGGGAGGCAGCAGGGGGGAAUAUUGCACAAUGGGCGGAAGCCUGAUGCAGAAACGCCGCGUGCGGGAUGACGGCCUUCGGGUGGUAAACCGCUUUAGCCUGUGACGAAGCGUGAGUGACGGUAAUGGGUAAAGAAGCACCGGCUAACUACGUG
rnacentral:rRNA from 1 species